rnacentral:rRNA from 1 species
AUUGAACGCUGGCGGCAGGCCUAACACAUGCAAGUCGAGCGGAUGAAGGGAGCUUGCUCCUGGAUUCAGCGGCGGACGGGUGAGUAAUGCCCAGGAAUCUGCCUGGUAGUGGGGGAUAACGUCCGGAAACGGGCGCUAAUACCGCAUACGUCCUGAGGGAGAAAGUGGGGGAUCUUCGGACCUCACGCUAUCAGAUGAGCCUAGGUCGGAUUAGCUAGUUGGUGGGGUAAAGGCCUACCAAGGCGACGAUCCGUAACUGGUCUGAGAGGAUGAUCAGCCACACUGGAACUGAGACACGGUCCAGACUCCUACGGGAGGCAGCAGUGGGGAAUAUUGGACAAUGGGCGAAAGCCUGAUCCAGCCAUGCCGCGUGUGUGAAGAAGGUCUUCGGAUUGUAAAGCACUUUAAGUUGGGAGGAAGGGCAGUAAGUUAAUACCUUGCUGUUUUGACGUUACCAACAGAAUAAGCACCGGCUAACUUCGUG